UACGUAGGUGACAAGCGUUGUCCGGAUUUACUGGGCGUAAAGGGCGCGUAGGCGGUCUGCUAAGUUGGAUGUGAAAACUCUGGGCUUAACCCAGAGCCUGCAUUCAAUACUGACAGGCUAGAGUUCUGGAGGGGAUAGCGGAAUUCCUGGUGUAGCGGUGAAAUGCGUAGAUAUCAGGAGGAACACCGGUGGCGAAGGCGGCUAUCUGGACAGAGUCUGACGCUGAGGCGCGAAAGCGUGGGGAGCGAACAGG
rnacentral:rRNA from 1 species